GACGAACGCUGGCGGCGUGCUUAACACAUGCAAGUCGAACGGAAAGGCCCCCUUGUGGGGUACUCGAGUGGCGAACGGGUGAGUAACACGUGAGUAACCUACCCUUGACUUUGGGAUAACUUCAGGAAACUGGGGCUAAUACCGGAUAGGAGCUCCUGCUGCAUGGUGGGGGUUGGAAAGUUUCGGCGGUUGGGGAUGGACUCGCGGCUUAUCAGCUUGUUGGUGGGGUAGUGGCUCACCAAGGCUUUGACGGGUAGCCGGCCUGAGAGGGUGACCGGCCACAUUGGGACUGAGAUACGGCCCAGACUCCUACGGGAGGCAGCAGUGGGGAAUAUUGCACAAUGGGCGGAAGCCUGAUGCAGCAACGCCGCGUGCGGGAUGACGGCCUUCGGGUUGUAAACCGCUUUCGCCUGUGACGAAGCGUGAGUGACGGUAAUGGGUAAAGAAGCACCGGCUAAGUACGUG
rnacentral:rRNA from 1 species